rnacentral:rRNA from 1 species
CGAAGGUGGGGCUGAUGACUGGGGUGAAGUCGUAACAAGGUAGCCGCACCGGAAGGUGCGGCUGGAUCACCUCCUAA